rnacentral:rRNA from 1 species
GACGAACGCUGGCGGCGUGCUUAACACAUGCAAGUCGUACGGUAAGGCCCUUUCGGGGGUACACGAGUGGCGAACGGGUGAGUAACACGUGAGUAACCUGCCCACAACUUUGGGAUAACGCUAGGAAACUGGUGCUAAUACUGGAUAUGUGCUCCUGCUGCAUGGUGGGGGUUGGAAAGCUCCGGCGGUUGUGGAUGGACUCGCGGCCUAUCAGCUUGUUGGUGGGGUAGUGGCCUAGCAAGGCGGCGACGGGUAGCCGGCCUGAGAGGGUGACCGGCCACAUUGGGACUGAGAUACGGCCCAGACUCCUACGGGAGGCAGCAGUGGGGAAUAUUGCACAAUGGGCGCAAGCCUGAUGCAGCAACGCCGCGUGCGGGAGGACGGCCUUCGGGUUGUAAACCGCUUUCAGCAGGGACGAAGCUUUUUGUGACGGUACCUGCAGAAGAAGCACCGGCUAACUACGUG